GCUAUCUAGUGGAAUAUGAUCGUAAAACUCCACGCACUUCGGGUAUAUAUAGACGGCACUACAGGCUCCCUGGUCACCAUCAGCACCAUGAGGGUCUUAGUGGUUCUUGGGCUUGUCGCUGCUGCCGCCUUUCAGGUGGCCAGUGCAGAUGUUCAGCAGCAGAAAGACGUCCUUUAUCUCCUGAACAAAAUCUAUGGAGACAUUCAGGACGGAGACCUGCUGGCUACUGCCAAUUCCUUUGAUCCCGUUGGAAACUUAGGCAGCUACAGUGAUGGUGGUGCAGCCGUGCAAAAACUGGUGCAGGACCUUAAUGACGGCAAACUCUUGGAGCAGAAACACUGGUUCUCCCUUUUCAAUACAAGGCAUCGUAAUGAGGCACUCAUGCUUUUCGACGUCCUCAUCCACUGCAAAGACUGGGCAUCCUUUGUCGGCAAUGCAGCCUACUUCCGUCAGAAAAUGAACGAAGGAGAGUUUGUUUAUGCCUUGUAUGUUGCCGUGAUCCACUCGUCUUUGGCUGAACACGUGGUGCUCCCUCCCCUCUAUGAGGUCACACCGCACCUCUUCACCAACAGUGAAGUUAUCGAAGAAGCUUAUCGUGCCAAACAGAAGCAGACGCCUGGCAAAUUCAAGUCCUCCUUUACGGGAACCAAGAAAAAACCCUGAACAGAGAGUGGCAUAUUUCGGUGAAGAUAUCGGCUUGAAUACCCAUCACGUUACCUGGCAUAUGGAAUUCCCCUUCUUGGUGGAAUGAUGCUUACGGCCAUCAUCUGGAUCGCAAAGGAGAAAACUUCUUCUGGAUUCAUCACCAACUUACCGUCCGAUUGAUGCUGAACGUCUGUCCAAUUAUCUGGAUCCAGUAGGUGAACUCCAGUGGAACAAGCCCAUUGUAGAUGGCUUUGCUCCCCACACCACUUACAAGUAUGGAGGUCAGUUCCCUGCUCGUCCUGACAAUGUUAAAUUCGAAGAUGUGGACGAUGUUGCUCGAAUUCGAGAUAUGGUCAUCGUGGAGAGUCGAAUUCGUGAUGCCAUUGCCCAUGGCUAUAUAGUUGACAGUGAGGGCAAACACAUUGACAUCAGUAAUGAGAAAGGUUUGACAUUCUUGGUGAUAUCAUCGAAUCCUCACUGUACAGUCCCAACGUGCAGUACUAUGGAGCUUUACAUAACACUGCCCAUAUUGUACUAGGCCGUCAAGGGAUCCUCAUGGAAAGUUUGAUUUACCACCUGGUGUGCUGAACACUUCGAAACUGCCACCCGUGAUCCCAGCUUCUUCCGGCUUCACAAGUAUAUGGAUAACAUUUUCAAAGAACACAAGGACAACCUACCCCCAUACACCAAAGCCGAUUUGGAAUUCUCUGGCGUGUCUGUCACAGAGCUAGCCGUUGUAGGUGAACUGGAGACCUACUUUGAAGAUUUCGAAUACAGUCUUAUCAACGCAGUUGAUGAUGCUGAAGGAAUCCCAGAUGUGGAAAUCAGCACAUAUGUGCCUCGUCUUAACCACAAAGAGUUCACUUUUAGGAUUGAUGUAGAGAAUGGAGGUGCUGAGAGAUUGGCUACAGUUCGUAUCUUUGCCUGGCCUCAUAAAGACAACAACGGAAUCGAGUAUACAUUUGACGAAGGUCGCUGGAAUGCCAUCGAGUUGGAUAAGUUCUGGGUAUCUUUGAAGGGUGGAAAAACUUCAAUUGAACGCAAGUCCACGGAAUCUUCAGUAACUGUACCGGACGUGCCAAGCAUACAUGACCUGUUUGCAGAAGCCGAGGCAGGCGGCGCUGGCCUUGCCAAAUUCGAGAGUGCAACAGGCCUACCAAACAGGUUCCUUCUCCCCAAGGGCAACGAUAGAGGCCUGGAAUUCGACCUUGUGGUGGCGGUGACUGAUGGUGAUGCCGACUCAGCAGUGCCGAACCUUCAUGAGAAUACCGAGUACAAUCACUACGGUUCCCAUGGCGUGUACCCUGAUAAGCGUCCUCAUGGUUAUCCUUUGGACCGCAAAGUUCCAGAUGAGCGCGUGUUUGAAGAUCUUCCUAACUUUAGGCACAUCCAAGUUAAGGUCUUCAAUCAUGGUGAACACAUUCAUUAGUGAUUCAAACUUACAACUCUUCAUAUGAAUAUGUCGAUGAAUGAAUUGUUUCAAAAUAAAGAACAUAUGCAUACA